AGGACGAACGCUGGCGGCGCGCCUAACACAUGCCUUUCGAACGAGCGAGAGAGAGCUUGCUUUCUCGAGCGAGUGGCGAACGGGUGAGUAACGCGUGAGGAACCUGCCUCAAAGAGGGGGACAACAGUUGGAAACGACUGCUAAUACCGCAUAAGCCCACGGGUCGGCAUCGACCAGAGGGAAGAGGAGCAAUCCGCUUUGAGAUGGCCUCGCGUCCGAUUAGCUAGUUGGUGAGGUAAUGGCCCACCAAGGCGACGAUCGGUAGCCGGACUGAGAGGUUGAACGGCCACAUUGGGACUGAGACACGGCCCAGACUCCUACGGGAGGCAGCAGUGGGGAAUAUUGCACAAUGGGGGAAACCCUGAUGCAGCGACGCCGCGUGGAGGAAGAAGGUCUUCGGAUUGUAAACUCCUGUUGUUGGGGAAGAUAAUGACGGUACCCAACAAGGAAGUGACGGCUAACUACGUGCCAGCAGCCGCGGUAAAACGUAGGUCACAAGCGUUGUCCGGAAUUACUGGGUGUAAA
rnacentral:rRNA from 1 species